AUUCUAUCAUUUUCAAAAUUCAAUUUGGGUAAGCCGGUAACCAAUUCCUUUUUAAUAAGUUUUGAAAGUGAAUGCAUGCUAAUAUGUGCAAGCUUACGAUGCCAAAGCCAACUAGUCUCAUUAAUCUUGGCAUUCAAGGCUACUAGGUAUUGUAUGUUUAUUUUGGAAAGAUCAUUCAAAUCUACUAUAUAAACAUUACCAUGUCUAUACCCAACAAAUUUAAUGCCUUCAUCAAUAGGACUAGUUACUAUGCAAAAUGAAGAUUCAAAAAUGACUUUGUAUCUUUUAUCACAAAAUUGACUGAUGCUUAAUAGAUUAUGUUUCAAACCAUCU
rnacentral:lncRNA from 1 species